ACGGAUAGAUUCAACCGAACCAAGUCACCUUGAACACCAAACCCCAGUUCUCAACUGAACCCUGAAUACUUGACAGACUGGAAGCAACUUACCACCAUACCUAAGCAAGGUAAACAAAGGUAAUCCAAUACUUCAACGAGACUAGAGAAGACACAUAUGUCUCCAGGACUACAUUGCUAAGGCAAUCUAAUACUUCAACGAGACUAGAGAAGACAUAUGUCUCCAGGACUACAUUGCUGAUGCUUGUCUUAGGUUCCCGAACAGAUGAUCUUCGUCUUGCCGAUACGGAUGCACAGAUGGAGCUC
rnacentral:lncRNA from 1 species